rnacentral:rRNA from 1 species
CCUACGGGAGGCAGCAGUGGGGAAUAUUGGACAAUGGGCGGAAGCCUGAUCCAGCCAUGCCGCGUGUGUGAAGAAGGCCUUUUGGUUGUAAAGCACUUUAAGCGAGGAGGAGGCUACUAGUAUUAAUACUACUGGAUAGUGGACGUUACUCGCAGAAUAAGCACCGGCUAACUCUGUGCCAGCAGCCGCGGUAAUACAGAGGGUGCGAGCGUUAAUCGGAUUUACUGGGCGUAAAGCGUGCGUAGGCGGCUGAUUAAGUCGGAUGUGAAAUCCCUGAGCUUAACUUAGGAAUUGCAUUCGAUACUGGUCAGCUAGAGUAUGGGAGAGGAUGGUAGAAUUCCAGGUGUAGCGGUGAAAUGCGUAGAGAUCUGGAGGAAUACCGAUGGCGAAGGCAGCCAUCUGGCCUAAUACUGACGCUGAGGUACGAAAGCAUGGGGAGCAAACAGGAUUAGAUACCCUGGUAGUCCAUGCCGUAAACGAUGUCUACUAGCCGUUGGGGUCUUUGAGACUUUAGUGGCGCAGCACGCGAGUAAGUAGACCGCCGUCGGGUAGGUACGUACGUCGACGACGUAAACGUAAACCGUAACGUUAAGUUAGUUAGUUACGGACGGUUCGGUUACGGUUAGGACCGACGGACCGACGACGACGGGACGG